rnacentral:rRNA from 1 species
AGAGUUUGAUCCUGGCUCAGAAUCAACGCUGGCGGCGUGCCUAACACAUGCAAGUCGCACGAGAAAGUGGAGCAAUCCGUGAGUAAAGUGGCGCACGGGUGAGUAACACGUGAAUUAUCUACCUUCGAGUGGGGAAUAACUGAGAGAAAUCUUAGCUAAUACCGCAUAAUACCUACGGGUCAAAGCAGCAAUGCGCUUGAAGAGGAGUUCGCGGCAGAUUAGUUAGUUGGCGGGGUAAUGGCCCACCAAGACGAUGAUCUGUAUCCGGCCUGAGAGGGCGCACGGACACACUGGAACUGAAACACGGUCCAGACUCCUACGGGAGGCAGCAGUGGGGAAUUUUGCGCAAUGGGGGAAACCCUGACGCAGCAACGCCGCGUGGAGGAUGAAAUCCCUUGGGAUGUAAACUCCUUUCGAUAGGGACGAUUAUGACGGUACCUAUAGAAGAAGCCCCGGCUAACUUCGUGCCAGCAGCCGCGGUAAUACGAGGGGGGCGAGCGUUGUUCGGAAUUAUUGGGCGUAAAGGGUGCGUAGGCGGCCUGACAAGUCUGAUGUGAAAUCCCUGGGCUCAACCCAGGGCCUGCAUCGGAAACUGUCGGGCUUGAGUAUGGGAGAGGUGAGUGGAAUUUCCGGUGUAGCGGUGAAAUGCGUAGAUAUCGGAAGGAACACCUGUGGCGAAAGCGGCUCACUGGACCAUUACUGACGCUGAGGCACGAAAGCUAGGGGAGCAAACAGGAUUAGAUACCCUGGUAGUCCUAGCCCUAAACGAUGAUUGCUUGAUGUGGCAGGUACCCAAUCCUGCCGUGUCGAAGCUAACGCGAUAAGCAAUCCGCCUGGGGAGUACGGCCGCAAGGCUGAAACUCAAAGGAAUUGACGGGGGCCCGCACAAGCGGUGGAGCAUGUGGUUUAAUUCGACGCAACGCGAAGAACCUUACCUGGGCUCGAAAUGUACCGGAAUCCGGUGGAAACAUCGGCGUCUAGCAAUAGACCGGUAUAUAGUGCUGCAUGGCUGUCGUCAGCCUCGUGU